GCUAGGAAUUUUGCGCAAUGGGGGCAACCCUGACGCAGCGACACAGCGUGGAGGAGGAAGGUCUUCGGAUUGUAAACUCCUUUUAUAUGGGAAGAAUAGAUGACUGUACCAUAUGAAUAAGCACCUGCUAACUACGUGCCAGAAGCAUCGGUGAUGCGUAGGGUGCGAACGUUAUCCGGAUUUAUUGGGCGUAAAGAGAUGCGUAGGCGUUUCAGUUAGUCUUUCGUUAAAAGUCACGGCUUAACCGUGAAGAUGCGUUGGAUACUGCUGAAAUUGAGACAUGCAUGGGUGAACGGAACUCCAAGUGGAGCGGUGAAAUGCGUUGAUAUUUGGAAGAACAUCAGAGGCGAAGGCGGUUCACUGGUCAUUGUCUGACGCUAAGGCUCGAAAGCGUGGGUAGCAAAACGGAUUAGAUACCCGUGUAGUCC
rnacentral:rRNA from 1 species